UUACAAUAUAAAACUAAUUCAUGUUUUGGUGCAUGUUUCUGAAUGUAUAUUAGAUCCUACGGGCCAUUUAAUGCAGUGAAAUUGAUUAAUAAAGCUCUGUAGUCGCACUGUACUGCUGUGAGCAAGACUCACUUAGCCAGGUUAGCUCCACGUUGGGGCUGAUUUUUUUUCUUUUGUAAUCCGAUGCCAUCCUCGGCCCUGUUAGUGUUAAUAUGUGAAUUUUAGCUUGUAUUAGUCAUGUAAAUAUAAUGUUUCUACGUGCUUAGAGUAUUUUUCUCAUUUUGCAGAGAAAUUGUGAAUUCUCCAGCUAUGUCUGAUUGGUGUAGUCAUCGGUUAGUGCUGUCGAAUCUCUCAGUGAUGAUAACUUUCACAGACCUGUACUGAAACACUGUGAUUGUAACCUUUUUUUUAUCUGAGAAGAGAUUCAUAAACGUGCAUUUAAGAUGGGCAAUGCACCGGUUUUGGGUGUGCUCUGCACGUCUUAGAACGUGCUAGAAGUCUGGAAGUUUCGUGAUGUCUGCACGUGCUGUCCUGGUGCUUGCUGACCAAACGCACUUUCUGUGUAUUUGCAGUUUGCCUACGUGAAGACGGAUCCUCUGUGCUGCUAUAGACUCCUCAAGCCUCUGGGUUGAGCAUUGCCACUUUUAGGCAGCUUAAAGUCUGCAGAUAAUUGGAUGUGAGCAGAGCUGUGGAAGACCUAAUCUAACAAGGUUGGAAAAUGUCUGGCAGCCAACAUGGACAGAAUAUCCUUAACCAUGGAUGCCCGACUAGUGUUCCAGCAAGGUGUUGGUCUUUCGAUACCCCUUAAGGUGGUGCCAGUUCCUGUUUCUUGUUUGUGGAUCAGCCAAGUGGACUACUUUUAAUUGGUCAUGGCUAAAAGAUGGAGGAUGCCGUCUUGGCCUGUGACUGGACUCUGCAAGAAUGUCUGAACAGGGCUGUCCUUUUUGUUUUUUUUUUUUAAUUCUAGGUGGGCUUUCUAAGAUGAAGUUGCUGUGAUCUGAUGUCCUGGAACUGCUUGGUUCUUAGAUUGUAGCUAAAUGUAAAGGGGGACCUGGAGGAGCCCAGUUCAGGACUGCCUGAACCGCAUCUUCUAGAAUGAGGGGGGCCUAGUGCCUGUAAAAGUCCCAAGCAUCCAGGUGACCCUGCCAAGUUGAAGGCUUCUUCUAAACAG